GCUGGGACUGACGCUCAGGCACGAAAGCGUGGGGAUCAAACAGGAUUAGAUACCCUGGUAGUCCACGCAGUAAACGAUGAAGACUUGUUGUCGGCGAUAGACAGUCGGUGACAAAGCGAAAGCGAUAAGUCUUCCACCUGGGGAGUACGAUCGCAAGGUUGAAACUCAAAGGAAUUGACGGGGGCCCGCACAAGCGGAGGAGCAUGUGGUUUAAUUCGAUGAUACGCGAGGAACCUUACCUGGACUCAAAUGUUGGAUGACCGUUCCAGAAAUGGGACUUCCCUUCGGGGCAUCCAGCAAGGUGCUGCAUGGUUGUCGUCAGCUCGUGCCGUGAGGUGUCAGGUUAAGUCCUAUAACGAGCGCAACCCCUACGUCCAGUUGCCAGCGGGUAAAGCCGGGGACUCUGGAGGGACUGCCGGCGCAAGCCGAGAGGAAGGUGGGGAUGACGUCAAAUCAGCACGGCCCUUACGUCCAGGGCGACACACGUGCUACAAUGGCCGGUACAGAGGGCAGCCACCCCGCGAGGGGGAGCGAAUCUCGAAAGCCGGUCUCAGUUCGGAUCGGAGUCUGCAACUCGACUCCGUGAAGUUGGAUUCGCUAG
rnacentral:rRNA from 1 species